GGAGCUGUGGCUCAGUGGUAGAGCAUCUCUUUGUCAUGCAGAAGGUCCCAGGUUCAAUCCCUGGUAUCUCCA